AGCGAACGUUAGCGGCGGGCCUAACACAUGCAAGUCGAACGCGAAAGGUCUUCGGACUGAGUAGAGUGGCGCACGGGUGAGUAACACGUAGGUAAUCUACCCUUUGGCGGGGGAUAACGUUCCGAAAGGAGCGCUAAUACCGCAUAAGACCACGGAGUCUCCGGACGCUGUGGGAAAAGGUGGCCUCUUCUUGAAAGCUACCACCGAAGGAUGAGCCUGCGUCCCAUCAGCUAGUUGGUAAGGUAAUGGCUUACCAAGGCGAAGACGGGUAGCUGGUUUGAGAGAAUGAUCAGCCACACUGGCACUGGAACACGGGCCAGACUCCUACGGGAGGCAGCAGUGAGGAAUAUUGGGCAAUGGGCGAAAGCCUGACCCAGCCACGCCGCGUGAGUGAUGAAGGCCCUCGGGUCGUAAAGCUCUGUGGAGAGGGACGAAAACCCUAGGUUUCAAAUAGGCUCCAGGCUUGACGGUACCUCUUUAGCAAGCACCGGCUAACUCUGUGCCAGCAGCCGCGG
rnacentral:rRNA from 1 species